rnacentral:lncRNA from 1 species
GUCUUAGCGGACCACCCAUAAAUCUGUGAUACCCCUCCAUCUUGUGAUCAGGCUAUGCUGCCUUGCGGUAAAGCUGUCCGUGUGUUCGACCCCUCCGUAAGGGUGCGUUGCCUUGCAGUAAAACUGUCCAACGCCCCCGCGAGGUUGUGCUGCCGCCCAGUUAAGAAGUCCGAACCCUGCUCCCCAUGAUUCUGUCCUACUCCGCCCAUAAUUCUUUCCUACCCUGCUGUGUUUAUGACCAAACACAAAAACUGUUCAUAUGCAGUAGGAAGGAUUAUCUGAUAAGGUAGGACAUUUGGAUAUGCUUCGGGUAGGACAGACCGUUGGAACACUGACGCAACAAAAAUGGAGAGUAGUAUUAAAGCUAUCCAGCCAUACGCUUUUGAGCUUGAUGCCAAGCAAAGCAGAUUCAUCAGAGUGCAGCAGAGCAGAGAGCUUGUGGCUUGCCGUAGUAGUUUCUACGUCACACCUACAAGCUUCUUCCAACAGCAUUGUUUUUGGUCUACUCUUGGUUCACAACGAUUUGGACAAAUACAUUUUAGGAAAUGCAAUGGGAAGCUUAAUUUUCUUCUUCUGUGCCCUCUAUUAUCAGUAAAUACAUGUUAAAAACACUAUUUUCACCGGAGUGGGUUUUCAGAUGAGGAGCUGCGGGUCUCCCUCGUCCUCCGGCUCCCUCCAUCUUUUUCCCGUCAUCCCGUUGCGCCGGAAAGGGCAGUGCGGGAGAGAAAAGGAGGCGUUGCCCUCCUUCUCCUCCCCUCCACACAACACAUCAGCUGCAAAUUUAUGCAGAGCAGCGGAAUCAGUGCUGCCGUCCAGCACGGAGGAUCCAGCGGGGAGAGGCGGCGCCGGCCAGCUCGCUCUUACAGCCGGGAAGGCCGCGGAGUCGCUCGGACUCGUCGUGCUGCGGGGCAGCCGGUGCAGCAGGAGGCGGGGGGAAAGCCACAGCCGUGACGCCAUGGAGACGAGCGGCGAGCAGAACCAGCAGGGAACCUCGCCCAACGGGAGCUCCGCGUCUGGAACGAGCCCCCGCACGUCGGCGAUGAAUUCCAUGUCUCUGUAUGAGCGACAGGCUGUGCAGGUAGCUGUGUGUGUGUGUGUGGAGUGCGGUCUGAACAUUUAGGCUUCGUUUGCUCCUGAUAGAUGUUCAACCUGACCUGUUCAGUAUCUUUUGUGUUUUUUCUUGUUGGCACAAAUGUCACAAAAUUCAGCAGCUUUCAUACAAAAGUCCCCAUCAAAUAAGAACCAUUCCGGAUCUGUUAUUAACUUUGAG